AGAUACAUCAAAAUGAAGAAAAAACCCAACGUACACCUCUUGGGGGAAAAUGGUAUCCUGGACAGAGCCGUGGGUUUGUACAAGACGUUCUACAAGCUCAUUAUUCUGCAACAUCCAAAUAUGACAAAAUACUCAAUGUUAUUCCAAGAGGAUAAAGCAACUCAGGAGACUGCAACUGCCCUAGCCAAGGCAGUGGAGGAAAAAGAAACGGAAAAGCAAAAAAAUGCUUAUGUGGAUUUCCAUCCCGAGGCAAGUAUUCUAGAUCCUGAGAUCACCGGUAUAGAAGAACAUAUUCCUCUUGUGGGUCCAUAGUUUGUUCUCCUGAACCUUUUAGUAGGCGAUCAGAGGAGCUGCCAGUAAACUUUGCACAGCCACAGUCCACUUUGGUUUGCCAAUCUCAGCCAAUUGAUUUAGAUCGUGAGCUGUCAGUCACAGUUGUAGAAGAAGAUAUCCUUCUAGAUGUCCAUGUUUCUUCUACUGAACCUCAGACAAGUGGAUUAGCAGAGGAGAUGCCAGUAAGCUCUGAUCCACCACAGUCUACUUUAGUUUCUCAUCCUGAGCCUACAAAUCUAGCACUUGGGCAGUCAGUCACAGAACUAGAAGAGCAUAUUCCUGAGGAGAAUUAUACUGCAAUGAAAGUUUGCCAGCUAUUAACUGCAGAUCAGCCUGUGUCAGUUUCUAAGUCCAGAGAACAUGGAAAAAGUGAAAAACAGCAAAUAUAAAAAGGAUAUGCUACAGCCGUGAAUUUCUGCUCAGUUUACGGUUUAGAAAGCAAAAGCCAGAGAGCCUUCCUGAUAUACCUGACAUACACCGAGAUUCGGCUCAGAAAACCAAACUGACGCCACUGGUUUCAACCCAACAGGCUAGUAAUCAUUUUACACCGC